AGAGUUUGAUCCUGGCUCAGAUUGAACGCUGGCGGCAUGCCUUACACAUGCAAGUCGAACGGCAGCGGACCUUCGGGUGCCGGCGAGUGGCGAACGGGUGAGUAAUGUAUCGGAACGUACCUUUCAGUGGGGGAUAACGUAGCGAAAGUUACGCUAAUACCGCAUAUUCUGUGCGCAGGAAAGCAGGGGAUCGCAAGACCUUGCGCUGAUUGAGCGGCCGAUAUCAGAUUAGCUAGUUGGUGAGGUAAAGGCUCACCAAGGCGACGAUCUGUAGCGGGUCUGAGAGGAAGAUCCGCCACACUGGAACUGAGACACGGUCCAGACUCCUACGGGAGGCAGCAGUGGGGAAUUUUGGACAAUGGGGGCAACCCUGAUCCAGCCAUGCCGCGUGAGUGAAGAAGGCCUUCGGGUUGUAAAGCUCUUUCGGCCGGGAAGAAAUCGCAUGGGUUAAUACCCUGUGCGGAUGACGUACCGGCAUA
rnacentral:rRNA from 1 species